rnacentral:rRNA from 1 species
AGCGGUAACAGAUCCAGCUUGCAUGCAUGCUGACGAGCGGCGGACGGGUGAGUAAUGCAUAGGAAUCUGCCCGAUAGUGGGGGAUAACCUGGGGAAACCCAGGCUAAUACCGCAUACGUCCUACGGGAGAAAGGGGGCUCCGGCUCCCGCUAUGGGAUGAGCCUAUGUCGGAUUAGCUAGUUGGUGAGGUAACGGCUCACCAAGGCAACGAUCCGUAGCUGGUCUGAGAGGAUGAUCAGCCACAUCGGGACUGAGACACGGCCCGAACUCCUACGGGAGGCAGCAGUGGGGAAUAUUGGACAAUGGGGGAAACCCUGAUCCAGCCAUGCCGCGUGUGUGAAGAAGGCCCUCGGGUUGUAAAGCACUUUCAGCGAGGAAGAACGCCUAGCGGUUAAUACCCGCUAGGAAAGACAUCACUCGCAGAAGAAGCACCGGCUAACUCCGUGCCAGCAGCCGCGGUAAUACGGAGGGUGCAAGCGUUAAUCGGAAUUACUGGGCGUAAAGCGCGCGUAGGUGGCUUGAUAAGCCGGUUGUGAAAGCCCCGGGCUCAACCUGGGAACGGCAUCCGGAACUGUCAAGCUAGAGUGCAGGAGAGGAAGGUAGAAUUCCCGGUGUAGCGGUGAAAUGCGUAGAGAUCGGGAGGAAUACCAGUGGCGAAGGCGGCCUUCUGGACUGACACUGACACUGAGGUGCGAAAGCGUGGGUAGCAAACAGGAUUAGAUACCCUGGUAGUCCACGCCGUAAACGAUGUCGACCAGCCGUUGGGUGCCUAGCGCACUUUGUGGCGAAGUUAACGCGAUAAGUCGACCGCCUGGGGAGUACGGCCGCAAGGGUUAAAACUCAAAUGAAUUGACGGGGGCCCGCACAAGCGGUGGAGCAUGUGGAUUAAUUCGAUGCAACGCGAAGAAUCCUUACCUACUCUUUGACAUCCUGCGAAGUUAGGUAGAGAUACCUUUACUGC